UUCGUGUGAACAGUGGUUGAUCACGAGUUAGUCGGUCCUAAGUUCAAGGCGAAAGCCGAAAAUUUUCAAGUAAAAAAUGGAAAUAUAAGUAUUGACAUAAAACACUUGAUAAUUUUGAACGAAAGGGAAUACGGUUCCAAUUCCGUAACCUGUUGAGUAUCCGUUUGUUAUUAAAUAUGGGCCUUGUGCUCAUCCUGGCAACAGGAACGACCAUAAAGAAGCCGUCGAGAGAUAUCGGAAGAGUUUUCUUUUCUGUUUUAUAGCCGUACUACCAUGGAAGUCUUUCGCAGAGAGAUAUGGUAGAUGGGCUAGAAGAGCAUGACAUAUACUGUUGUGUCGAUAUUUUCUCCUCGGACCUUGAAAAUUUAUGGUGGGGAUACGCAAACUUCUCAACAGGCCGUACCAAUAUCCGCAGCUGGUCUCCAAGGUGAAGAGUCUCUAGUCGAUAGAAUA
rnacentral:rRNA from 1 species